rnacentral:rRNA from 1 species
AUUGAACGCUGGCGGCAUGCCUUACACAUGCAAGUCGAACGGUAACAGGUCUUCGGAUGCCGACGAGUGGCGAACGGGUGAGUAAUACAUCGGAACGUGCCUAGUAGUGGGGGAUAACUACUCGAAAGAGUGGCUAAUACCGCAUGAGAUCUACGGAUGAAAGCAGGGGAUCGCAAGACCUUGUGCUACUAGAGCGGCCGAUGGCAGAUUAGGUAGUUGGUGGGAUAAAAGCUUACCAAGCCGACGAUCUGUAGCUGGUCUGAGAGGACGAUCAGCCACACCGGGACUGAGACACGGCACAGACUCCUACGGGAGGCAGCAGUGGGGAAUUUUGAACAAUGGGCGAAAGCCUGAUCCAGCAAUGCCGCGUGCAGGAUGAAGGCCUUCGGGUUGUAAACUGCUUUUGUACGGAACGAAAAGCCCCGGGUUAAUACCCUGGGGUCAUGACGGUACCGUAAGAAUAGGCACCGGCUAACUACGUGCCAGCCGCCGCGGUAA